rnacentral:rRNA from 1 species
AGAAUCAACGCUGGCGGCGUGCCUCAGACAUGCAAGUCGAACGUGACGCUUCGGGUCUUCGGACUUGAGGCGUUGAGUGGCGCACGGGUGAGUAACACGUGGGCAAUCUACCUUUGGGUGGGAAGUAUCAGCUGGAAACGGACUGUUAAUACCGCAUAAAGCAAUUAUAGUCCUUGGACAGUAGUUGUUAAAGCGUGGGAUCUAUUUAUAGACCAUGCGCCAGAAGAGGAGCCCGCGGCGGAUAGCUAGUUGGUGAGGUAACGGCUCACCAAGGCUGUGAUCCGUAGCCGGCCUGAGAGGGCGACGGACCACACUCGACAACUGAAAUACGGUCACGACGUCGUACGGGAG